rnacentral:lncRNA from 1 species
AGAUCCUGUGGUAAUUCUCGUAAGCGGUGUUGUUAUGCUUGAUUCGUUUAGCUAAACCGCUAAGAAAAUCCUUCAUCAACACACAUCCAAAAGCAGGUCCGUUACCGAUAGUAACCCGAUCAGGCUGCACGAUGAUUGCCUUCUCCUUCUUGAGAAGCAGAGAGUACCCAACGGAGCUGUAAUCAUUAAAGAUAGGACCCGCGAAGAGAUACGCAUCAGCAGACUCAACAAUCUCAGCGCAAAACGCAGUACUCACAGCUCCCCAAUACGUGCCAAUGAAGUGCUUAUGAUGCUCAGGCACCUGCCCCUUAGCAGAUGGCAUCACAGCGACACCAUACCCAGAAGCA